UACGUAGGGUGCGAGCGUUGUCCGGAAUUCUUGGGCGUAAAGGGCUCGUAGGCGGUUUGUCGCGUCGGGAGUGAAAUCAUCUGGCUUAACUGGGUGCUUGCUUUCGAUACGGGCAGACUAGAGGUAUGCAGGGGAGAACGGAAUUCCUGGUGUAGCGGUGAAAUGCGCAGAUAUCAGGAGGAACACCGGUGGCGAAGGCGGUUCUCUGGGCAUGACCUGACGCUGAGGAGCGAAAGUGUGGGGAGCGAACAGG
rnacentral:rRNA from 1 species